GACUUGAUCCAAAAAUAAUUACUCAAUUAAAUUGAGUUAAUUAAUGAUCAAAUCACUAAUUAAAUCUCUCAUAAAUAUUGAAUCCAAAUUCGAUAGGCAAUCGGGUAUCAAAGUCCAUCAAUAUGAAACCUUGAUUGUAGAGUCCCAAACCAGUGGGACUCUUGACCCCGAUACCCAAAAUGUAUGGGACUUGUGAUCAGAGAAUCCUGAUUCUCGAUCACAGAGUCCCAUAUACAUAGGACUCAUAGUCCAUGAACAUUAGGACUCUUCAUCAGCCAUC
rnacentral:lncRNA from 1 species